CCUACGGGAGGCAGCAGUGAGGAAUAUUGGUCAAUGGGCGCGAGCCUGAACCAGCCAAGUCGCGUGAGGGAAGACGGUCCUAUGGAUUGUAAACCUCUUUUGUCGGGGAGCAAAAGACGCCACGCGUGGCGUUCCGAGAGUACCCGAAGAAAAAGCAUCGGCUAACUCCGUGCCAGCAGCCGCGGUAAUACGGAGGAUGCGAGCGUUAUCCGGUUUUAUUGGGUUUAAAGGGUGCGCAGGCGGAAGAUCAAGUCAGCGGUAAAAGUGAGAGGCUCAACCUCUUCGAGCCGUUGAAACUGGUUUUCUUGAGUGAUUGAGAGGUAUGCGGAAUGCGGGGUGUAGCGGUGAAAUGCAUAGAUAUCACGCAGAACUCCGAUUGCGAAGGCAGCAUACCGGCGCUCAACUGACGCUCAUGCACGAAAGUGUGGGUAUCGAACAGGAUUAGAUACCCCUGUAGUC
rnacentral:rRNA from 1 species